GUCUUUUUGUUUAUAAUUUAAAGUCUGACCUGCCCAAUGAAUUUUGAAUGGCCGCAGUAUUUUGACUGUGCAAAGGUAGCAUAAUCAUUAGUUUUUUAAAUGGAAGCUGGAAUGAAGGGUUUGAUGAGAAAGUAGCUGUCUCACAUUAAUAUAUAUAUAAUUUUAUUUUUAAGUUAAAAAGCUUAAAUUUUUUAAAAAGACGAGAAGACCCUAUAGAGUUUGAUAUUUUUUUUAUUUAAAAUUUUUAGGAUUUAAAUAUUUUGUUUAAAAAAAAUAUUUUAUUGGGGUGAUAAUAAAAUUUACUAAACUUUUAAUUUUAAAUUUCCAUUAAUAUAUGAAUAAUUGAUCCUAAUUUUUAGAUUAUAAGAAAAAAUUACCUUAGGGAUAACAGCGUAAUUUUUUUUUAGAGUUCUAAUCGAAAAAAAAGAUUGCGACCUCGAUGUUGGAUUAAAAUAUAAGUUUGGUGUAGAAGCUAAAUUUUUAGGUCUGUUCGACCUUUAAAAUUUUACAUGAUCUGAGUUUAAACCGGUGUGAGCCAGGUUGGUUUCUAUCUUUUAAUAAAUAAAUAUUUUAGUACGAAAGGACCAAAUAUUAAAAUAAUAUUUUUAUUUUUGAAUAUUAUUAAUUAUUUUGGCAGAUUAGUGCAAUAGAUUUAGAAUCUUUAUAUGUAAUUUUUACAAAUAAUAAUAUUUUUAAAUGAUUUAAUUUUAAUUUUUUUUUCUUUAUUAAUUUUAAUUGUAGGAGUUUUAGUUGGGGUAGCUUUUGUGACUUUAUUAGAACGAAAAAUUUU
rnacentral:rRNA from 1 species